CCCUCAUCACGAGGGACUGAGGGAACGGCCCGACGAAGUCCCGGCAACCGCCACGAACCUCCUUCUCGCUCUGCGGGAAGUCGCGGAAACGGUGCCAAUUCCGUCCCGGAGCGAAAGUCGCGCCGGGGUAGAUGAGAA
rnacentral:ncRNA from 2 species